UCCGUAGGUGAACCUGCGGAGGGAUCAUUACUGAGUUUACGCUCUACAACCCUUUGUGAACAUACCUAUAACUGUUGCUUCGGCGGGUAGGGUCUCCGUGACCCUCCCGGCCUCCCGCCCCCCCGGGCGGGUCGGCGCCCGCCGGAGGAUAACCAAACUCUGAUUUAACGACGUUUCUUCUGAGUGGUACAAGCAAAUAAUCAAAACUUUUAACAACGGAUCUCUUGGUUCUGGCAUCGAUGAAGAACGCAGCGAAAUGCGAUAAGUAAUGUGAAUUGCAGAAUUCAGUGAAUCAUCGAAUCUUUGAACGCACAUUGCGCCCGCCAGCAUUCUGGCGGGCAUGCCUGUUCGAGCGUCAUUUCAACCCUCAAGCUCUGCUUGGUGUUGGGGCCCUACAGCCGAUGUAGGCCCUCAAAGGUAGUGGCGGACCCUCCCGGAGCCUCCUUUGCGUAGUAACUUUACGUCUCGCACUGGGUUGGGGAGGGACUCUUGCCGUAAAACCCCCCAAUUUUCCAAAGGUUGACCUCGGAUCAGGUAGGAAUACCCGCUGAACUUAAGCAUAUCAAUAAGCGGAGGAA
rnacentral:rRNA from 1 species